UACGGGGGGAGCAAGCGUUGUUCGGAUUUACUGGGCGUAAAGGGCGCGUAGGCGGUCAGCACAAGUCAGUUGUGAAAUCUCCGGGCUUAACUCAGAAAGGUCAACUGAUACUGUGCGACUAGAGUGCGGAAGGGGCAACUGGAAUUCUUGGUGUAGCGGUGAAAUGCGUAGAUAUCAAGAGGAACACCUGCGGCGAAGGCGGGUUGCUGGGCCGACACUGACGCUGAGGCGCGAAAGCCAGGGGAGCGAACGGG
rnacentral:rRNA from 1 species